ACGAACGCUGGCGGCGUGCUUAACACAUGCAAGUCGAACGGUGACGGCGGAGCUUGCUCCUCCUGAUCAGUGGCGAACGGGUGAGUAACACGUGAGCAAUCUGCCCCUGACUCUGGGAUAACUGCGGGAAACUGUAGCUAAUACCGGAUACGACGCGCGAAGGCAUCUUCUGCGCGUGGAAAGAAUUUCGAUCAGGGAUGAGCUCGCGGCCUAUCAGCUUGUUGGUGAGGUAAUGGCUCACCAAGGCGACGACGGGUAGCCGGCCUGAGAGGGUGACCGGCCACACUGGGACUGAGACACGGCCCAGACUCCUACGGGAGGCAGCAGUGGGGAAUAUUGCACAAUGGGCGCAAGCCUGAUGCAGCAACGCCGCGUGAGGGACGACGGCCUUCGGGUUGUAAACCUCUUUUGGCAGGGAAGAAGCGAAAGUGACGGUACCUGCAGAAAAAGCACCGGCUAACUACGUG
rnacentral:rRNA from 1 species